rnacentral:tRNA from 1 species
GCGGGAAUAGCUCAGUUGGUAGAGCGCAACCUUGCCAAGGUUGAGGUCGCGGGUUCGAAUCCCGUUUCCCGCUCCA